ACACGGCUGCGCGGAAGCCGCAUCUGAAGGUUCCUCCCCGGACCCGGCCCCGGCGGGGUCGAAGUUGGCUCUCUCCGGGCGCCCGGUACGCCGGGACGGCUCGAACCCCAGCCAGUCUCUCCGAUGAACCCCCAGGGCGCUGCGGGCGGGAAGGGGGCGCGAGGCGGCCGCGGCAGGAGAGCAGGUAGCGGCCCCAGGCGGGGGCCGCGCGCUGUGCCCACCGAGACCCCGUCGGAAGCCCCAGGGUCUCAACUCCGAGGCCACUCCCCAGCAUCCCGCUUGGCCCCGGGGGCGGUCAGCGUCCCAGACAUGGGAGCCCUCCCAGGACCCCGGGGCUGGACCGGCCACAGGGACGGGGCUGCGGGCCCGCCCCGCGUCUGUCUGGUACCCGGGUCCCCCAGCCCGCGCUGGGAGCACUCACGUAUCUGUGCACGAGCGUCCGCACGAGGCUGCAGUCCAUGGCUCCUCCGGCCGCUCCCGCUCCGCCGCUCAGCGCCCCCGCGCCCGGCUCGGCGCGCCCAUGGGCUCCGGGGUCCGAGUGCGGCCGCGCCCCCUGCUCCGGUCACGGCCUGGGCGCGCCGGGCAGUGCAGGGGGCGGCCGCGGCCCCUCCGCGCCGCUCAUGCCCGGCCCGGCCGGCGAAUGCUGGGUCCGCGGCCCCGCGCGUCGGCGGCCGCUCCGCGGGCGGCGAGGCUGCUGCUCGGGGCCGCGCGCGAGCUCUGGCGCCUUCUCUCUCCCCGUCGGUCCGCCCGCUGGGUUGGGCUCGGCUGGAGCACCCCGGCCGCGGCGGAGCCUGCGCUCUCCUCUUCCCGAGUCUCCUCCUCCCCGGCCCGCCGCCCUCUGGAGCCUCCGGGCCCCGCUGGCUCCUGCCCCUGCUCCCGGCGCGCACGUCACCGGCGCGAAUGAGCAUGCGCCCCGCGGCCGCAGCCCCCGCCCGCCCCGCGCCCACACCCGCGCUCGCACCCGCGCGCCAGCCCUGCCCCCUCACGCCUCGGCCCAGGCCCCAGACCCUGGGGGCAGAGGGCAGAGGUCAGAGGCCGCGGGGAGGAACCCCUGUUGCUUCCGCCUCCCGGGGCGCAGGCGCGGGGCGCGGCGGGAAAGGGGCUCCGCACUGGGGGAACCCGGAGUCUCAGCCAGGGUCCCAGGGCUUCCAUCGCGGGUUCCUGCGGGAAAACUUUUCUCCUCCUCCCGGAAGCCUCGAUGGAGCAGUGAGAUCGCGGGGCGAGCUCUUCAAGGGGAGCAUCUGCUGAACGGGAUGGGUGAAGUGAUGAGAAGCAGAGGAGCAGGCCUGCGGUCGCGCGCACCAAGCCUGGGCGGGGAAUACAUGGUUCUGCACAGGAGUCGGGGUCUAUGGCCUUGGUACCUGCCCAGCCAGAAGAUCACAUGUACCCCUGGAUCUCACAGCCUCUUCAGGAGCAAGCCCUGGACAGCACUGUCAACAAGAUGGGUGCUCGGUGCUUUCCCUGUUUUCUAUCAGAGAAGGUUCUGGUUUCUGAUGACGCCAACCUCCAUGCAGAUUACAUGCCAGCAGGGAGUAGGUGGCAACUGGAAUCGUGCCAACUUCACUUCCUACUGUGAUCGACAACCCUUGGCCUGCCCUCUAACCCUCUCCACUCCGAGGUCGUCUCUCAAGCCUCAGUGGAACAAUCACGGCUCUUCCUCACAGCACAGGGCAACGUGGACCCGGUCUUACAGCUCUCCCAUCUGA
ensembl:lncRNA